AUUGGACGCUGGCGGCAGGCCUAACACAUGCAAGUCGAGCGGAUGAAGGGAGCUUGCUCCUGGAUUCAGCGGCGGACGGGUGAGUAAUGCCUAGGAAUCUGCCUGGUAGUGGGGGAUAACGUCCGGAAACGGGCGCUAAUACCGCAUACGUCCUGAGGGAGAAAGUGGGGGAUCUUCGGACCUCACGCUAUCAGAUGAGCCUAGGUCGGAUUAGCUAGUUGGUGGGGUAAAGGCCUACCAAGGCGACGAUCCGUAACUGGUCUGAGAGGAUGAUCAGUCACACUGGAACUGAGACACGGUCCAUACUCCUACGGGAGGCAGCAGUGGGGAAUAUUGGACAAUGGGCGAAAGCCUGAUCCAGCCAUGCCGCGUGUGUGAAGAAGGUCUUCGGAUUGUAAAGCACUUUAAGUUGGGAGGAAGGGCAGUAAGUUAAUACCUUGCUGUUUUGACGUUACCAACAGAAUAAGCACCGGCUAACUUCGUG
rnacentral:rRNA from 1 species